rnacentral:rRNA from 1 species
CGCUACACUCCUACGGGAGGCAGCAGUGGGGAAUAUUGCACAAUGGGCGCAAGCCUGAUGCAGCCAUGCCGCGUGUGUGAAGAAGGCCUUCGGGUUGUAAAGCACUUUCAGUCGUGAGGAAGGUAGUGUAGUUAAUAGCUGCAUUAUUUGACGUUAGCGACAGAAGAAGCACCGGCUAACUCCGUGCCAGCAGCCGCGGUAAUACGGAGGGUGCGAGCGUUAAUCGGAAUUACUGGGCGUAAAGCGCAUGCAGGUGGUUUGUUAAGUCAGAUGUGAAAGCCCGGGGCUCAACCUCGGAAUAGCAUUUGAAACUGGCAGACUAGAGUACUGUAGAGGGGGUAGAAUUUCAGGUGUAGCGGUGAAAUGCGUAGAGAUCUGAAGGAAUACCGGUGGCGAAGGCGGCCCCCUGGACAAAGACUGACGCUCAGAUGCGAAAGCGUGGGGAGCAAACAGGAUUAGAUACCCUGGUAG